UCCCCGUUGCCGGGGCAGUCUAGCUAGAAAAAUCCAACUAACUAUAAGGGUUGCGCUCGUUAAAGGACUUAACCUAACAUCUCACGACACGAGCUGACGACGGCCAUGCAGCACCUGUCUCUACGGUCCGAAGACACUCCCUCCUUUCGGAGGGAUUAGUAGGAUGUCAAGCCCUGGUAAGGUUCUUCGCUUAUCAUCGAAUUAAACAACACGCUCCACCGCUUGUGCGGGUCCCCGUCAAUUCCUUUAUGUUUUAGCCUUGCGGCCGUACUCCACAGGCGGGAUGCUUAACGCGUUAGCUUCGCAACUAUGAGGGUCGAUACUCAUAACUGCUAGCAUCCAUCGUUUACGGCGUGGACUA
rnacentral:misc_RNA from 1 species